rnacentral:rRNA from 1 species
UAGGGAAUCUUCGGCAAUGGACGAAAGUCUGACCGAGCAACGCCGCGUGAGUGAAGAGGGUUUUCGGAUCGUAAAACUCUGUUGGUAGAGAAGAACGUUGGUUAGAGUGGAAAGCUCAUCAAGUGACGGUAACUACCCAGAAAGGGACGGCUAACUACGUGCCAG